CUGAAAGCCUGGGCGGAUUCCCUGCUGGAGAGGCAGGGCCCCAUCCCCUGCUGCUCUGGGGGGCAGGGGCCGGAAGAUGGUGGCCAAUGAGGAGGGGGAGCGGAGAGAACUUGAGCCGGGGCCUCCCCUCCCCCAUUUCCUCCUCGGUCUCUACACCCGCCUCUGGAAGGAGCUGGGGGAUGGCUCCUGGGCCUAAGGUGGGGGAGGGGCCCUGCUGGCUGGUGAAUCGCAGGGCCCGCUCUGGAAUGAGUUGGGUGUGAGAGCCGAGGGGAUCUUGGCUCCAGGCCCCUCUCUUUUCUCUCUUCGAGGAGGGGUCUGGGCACGCCUUGGCGAAGAAUCUUCCCCUAGCCUCCCUGCAGCUUGCCGGGCAGUCCUGCCUUUGCCCCUCUGCCCCUUGUUGACAUGAUCCAGUUCCCAGCUGAGACUGGUUUGCCCAACCUAGGAACAGAGGCCUGGUGACUGACCCAGCAGGGCCUUGGUUUCCGUCCAUUAGAACUGUGCAAACUGUGGGACGGGGGCCCCAUGUUUGCAGAUUACAGGAGCAAACGCUGCCUGGGAAGCUGGGGGAGAACCUCUCCUGCUUCCUGAGGCGGGUGGGAGGAAGCUGGAGGGGAAGCCCAGAGGAAGAGCUCCCAACUGGAAUUCUGUCCUCCAUUCCUCCUGCUGGCUGUGGCGUGGGGAGGAGGGCAUCUCUCAGGGGGUCACUCCAUCGGCCAGAGGCCUUCGUUG
rnacentral:lncRNA from 1 species